UACGUAGGGGGCUAGCGUUGUCCGGAAUCAUUGGGCGUAAAGAGCGCGUAGGCGGCCAGAUAAGUCCGGUGUGAAAGUCAAAGGCUCAACCUUUGAAUGCCGCUGGAAACUGUCUGGCUAGAGUCCGGGAGGGGCGAGUGGAAUUCCUGGUGUAGCGGUGAAAUGCGCAGAUAUCAGGAGGAACACCAAUGGCGAAGGCAGCUCGCUGGAACAGUACUGACGCUGAGGCGCGAAAGCGUGGGGAGCGAACAGG
rnacentral:rRNA from 1 species